rnacentral:rRNA from 1 species
UGCAACCUGAGCUCAGCCGGGACUACCCCCUGAAC